rnacentral:rRNA from 1 species
GUACCUACGGGACGCAGCAGUGGGGAAUAUUGGGCAAUGGAGGAAACUCUUACCCAGCAAUGCCGCGUGAAUGAAGAAGGUCUUCGGAUUGUAAAGUUCUUUAAUUGGGGACGAAAAAAAUGACGGUACCCAAGGAAUAAGCCCCGGCUAACUACGUGCCAGCAGCCGCGGUAAUACGUAGGGGGCAAGCGUUGUUCGGAAUGACUGGGCGUAAAGGGUGCGUAGGCGGGGUAGCAAGUUAGAAGUGAAAUACCUAGGGCUUAA